AUGGGCUGGAGGUAGUUCCAAGACCACAAGGGGAGAUAAUAUUAUGUAAAAGGGAAAGGGAAGGCAACUCUUGUUUGACAUGGAGUUUCAGUGAACCAAGAGUUGUCUCAGCAAUGUCAUCUACAUCAGUGCCUUUUAGUAUUACGGAUAUUGAAAAUAAGGAUAACCCACAGCAGUAAGAGAUAUAAAGGUUCACUGCAGUUUUAACUAUGUCCAACAAGUAUUGUACCCAUACUAUGCUCAGCAAGUAGGGCCCCUGUAUUUUAAGACAUAAAUGCAGAUUCUUUGGAGUUGCUGUGAAUCCUCAUGCAGGCUCUCAGAUUUUCUACCUAGUGUUUGAAAAGUACUGUACUGCUGUUGGAAGGGGAGCAAACACUGUGGUAUCUAUGGUUCACCAUCAUUUCAAGCACCAUGGCUAUGGAGAAAAGAAUUUUUAAUUACAUAUGGUGU